rnacentral:rRNA from 1 species
AUACGGAGGAUGCGAGCGUUAUCCGGAUUUAUUGGGUUUAAAGGGAGCGUAGGUGGGAUAUUAAGUCAGCUGUGAAAGGUUGGGGCUCAACCUUAAAAUUGCAGUUGAUACUGGUUUCCUUGAGUACGGUACAGGUGGGCGGAAUUGGUGGUGUAGCGGUGAAAUGCUUAGAUAUCACGAAGAACUCCGAUCGCGAAGGCAGCUCACCGGGCCGGAACUGACACUGAUGCUCGAAAGUGCGGGUAUCAAACAGGAUUAGAUACCCUGGUAGUCCGCACAGUAAACGAUGAAUACUUGUUUUCGGCGAUAUAAUGUCGGAGGCAAAGCGAAAGCGAUAAGUAUUCCACCUGGGGAGUACGCCGGCAACGGUGAAACUUAAAGGAAUUGACGGGG